GCCCCGACCCCCCUCUGUGGCUCUUUGCAUUGAAGUGAGUGGUUGAGGGCACUGAAAAUCCCACACCCCACAUCCCGCACCCCACAUCCCGCACCCCACAUCCCACACCCCACAUCCCACACCCCACAUCCCAUACCCCACAACCCAUACCCCACAACCCACACCCCACAUCCCAUACCAAAUGUCCCACACCCCACAUCCCACACCCCACAUCCCACACCCUACAUCCCACACCCCACAUCCCAUACCCCACAACCCACACCCCACAUCCCGUACCAAACAUCCUGCACCCCACACCCCACAUCCCGCACCCCACAUCCCAUAUCCUCCACCCCACAGCCAAAACUGUGGGACAGAACCAGGGGGGUUCCAUCCGCUGCAAAACAGGUCCUAAAUGGGUGCAGGCCCCAAAUGGAUGCAGGUUCUGAAUGGGGACGAGUCCCACAUGGGUGCGGGUCCCAGAUGAAUGCUCACCCCAAAUGGGCGCGGGUCCCAAAUGGAUUCAGGUCCCAAAUGGGUUCAGGUCCAAAAUGAGUUCAAAUCCUACAUGGGUACACAUUCCAGACAGGUGUGGAUCCCAAAUGGGUGUAGGUCCCACGAGGGUUCAUAUCCCAAAUGGGUGCCCAUCCCAAAUAGGUGUGGAUCCCAAUGGGUGCAGGCCCCAAAUGGGUGCCCAUCCCAAAUAGGUGUGGAUCCCAAUGGGUCCCAAAUGGGUGCCCAUCCCAAAUAGGUGUGGAUCCCAAUGGGUGCAGGUCCCAAAUGGGUGCUCAUCCCAAAUAGGUGUGGAUCCCAAUGGGUCCCAAAUGGGAGCCCAUCCCAAAUAGGUGUGGAUCCCAAUGGGUGCGGGUCCCAAAUGGGUGCCCAUCCCAAAAAGGUGUGGAUCCCAAUGGGUGCGGGUCCCAAAUGGGUGCCCAUACCAAAUAGGUGUGGAUCCCAAUGGGUGCGGGUCCCAAAUGGGUGCCCAUACCAAAUAGGUGUGGAUCCCAAUGGGUGCAGGUCCCAGAUGGGUGCCCAUCCCAAAUAGGUGUGGAUCCCAAUGGGUCCCAAAUGGGUACCCAUCCCAAAUAGGUGUGGAUCCCAAUGGGUGCACUGUGGGAACCGUCCUCUGCGGCGCUGUGUCCGAAGAGCGGCAGUCCUGGCAGCCGGAAUGGGGACAUCGGCACCGUAGGAGCGAUCCGACCCCAUAGUGCUGAUGCUUGGACAGCAGCAGCCCCAUAGGUGUGGGGCCGAGGAGGUCACUGUCUGCCCCGGGUGCAUCAAUCUCUCCAUCCUAAACUGCAGAGCGAAUGGUUUGGGUUUGUUGCAUCGGCUCUUUGGGUUCUGCACCACUGCAGUGCAGUGGGGCGGUCUGCUGCAUUGGUCCUUUGGGUUUUGCACCAUUGCAGUGCAGUGGGGUGUGUUUGCUGCAUGCAGUGUGUCUGUAGGACACGUUGUGGGUCAGACCUUUGGGUUUUGCACCGUUGCAAAGCCAAUGGAGUGUGUUUGCUGCACCCGGUGUGCCUGUGGGAUAUAUGUGGGUCCGCUCUUCGGGUACUGCACCAUUGCAAAGGCAAUGGGGUGGGUUUGUUGCAUUGGCCUUUGAUAUUCUGCAGCACUGCAACGUCAGUGGGGUGUGUUUGCUGCACCCAGUGUGGCUGUAGGACACCUGUGGGUCGUUCCUUUGGGUGUUGCACCAUUGCAAAGGCAAUGCGGUGGGUUUGUUGCACCUGGUGCAGCUGUAGGACACGUUGUGGGUCAGCCCUCUGUAUUUUGCACCAUUGCAAAGGCACUGGGGUGGGUUUGUUGCACCCGGUGUGGCUGUGGGAUAUAUGUGGGUCAACUCUUCAGGUAUUGCACCAUUGCAAAGGCAAUGGGGUGGGUUUGUGGCAUCGACCCUUUGGGUUUUGCACCAUUGCAGUGCCAGUGGAGUGUGUUUGCUGCACCCGGUGCACCUGUAGGACAUGUGUGGGUUGGGCCUUUGGGUGUUGCACCACUGCAAAGCCAAUGGGGUGGGUUUGUUGCAUUGGCCUUUGAUAUUCUGCAGCACUGCAAUGGCAGUGGGCUGUGUUUGCUGCACCGUGUGGCUGUAGGACACCUGUGGGUCGUUCCUUUGGGUGUUGCACCAUUGCAAAGACAGUGGGGUGGGUUUGUUGCAUUGACCCUUUGGGUUUUGCACCAUUGCACAGUCAGUGGGGUGUGUUUGCUGCACCCGGUGCGUCUGUAGGAUAUAUGUGGGUCAGCUCUU
ensembl:lncRNA